AUUGAACGCUGGCGGCAGGCCUAACACAUGCAAGUCGAGCGGAAGAAGGGAGCUUGCUCCUGGAUUCAGCGGCGGACGGGUGAGUAAUGCCUAGGAAUCUGCCUGGCAGUGGGGGAUAACGUCCGGAAACGGGCGCUAAUACCGCAUACGUCCUGAGGGAGAAAGUGGGGGAUCUUCGGACCUCACGCUCUCAGAUGAGUCUAGGUCGGAUUAGCUAGUUGGUGGGGUAAAGGCCUACCAAGGCGGCGAUCCGUAACUGGUCGGAGAGGAUGAUCAGCCACACUGGAGCUGAGACACGGUCCAGACUCCUACGGGAGGCAGCAGUGGGGAAUAUUGGACAGUGGGCGAAAGCCUUGUCCAGCCAGGCGGCGUGUGUGAAGAAGGUCUUCGGAUUGUAAAGCACUUUAAGUUGGGAGGAAGGGCAGUAAGUUAAUACCUUGCUGUUUUGACGGUACCAACAGAAUAAGCACCGGCUAACUUCGUG
rnacentral:rRNA from 1 species